GGGCUUUAACCAUACUAGUUUACACUUACAUAUUCUGUACUUUGAUUAUUUAUGCUUCCACUAUAGCUGGAAUGACAGACAUCUGCCACUGUGUCCAGCUACUGGUUGAGAAGGGAUUUCAUGAAGUUUAGGCCGAAGGCUCGCUUUGAACCACGGUCCUUCCGAUCUGUGCCUCCCAAGUAGCUAGGAUUACAGGUGUGGCCUCUGGCGUUUGGCUCAUCAUCCUUUCAACUGUUAGACACAAAGCUCUGUGUCUCUUUGGGAAGCUCAUGGUCUUGGUGUUUGCCAUUUUAGUAUUAAAUAAAAUAGAAAAUAAGCAAGAUAAUGAUUUGGAGGUUCUCCUCUUGCCCCCCUCCAAAGCCUUGAAGGUUCUGGCAGGAAGAAAACAGAGAGUUGUUGGUAAUUUUUAGAAGCUCCUGCAUAGCUAUCAGAAUAGAGAAUAGAUUUCAUUUCCUUAGUUGAGAACAUGAAAGAUGAUAAAUUUAAAAAUAUAGAGGUGGAAUAGUCAUGCUUUUUUUUGUGUUUUGAAGAAAAGCUUAGAAAGUACAUUUAAUUUACCUAAAAACCAAAGAUUUAUAUUUCUGUAGUUGAUGUAUUCUGUUUUUUACACACAGCAUCCAUUGUUUUAAAAUGAAAAACAAUUUAUAACUGAAUAUUGUAAAGGGCUUUCUUUGACUCUAUCCAGUACUUGCCCAUGUGGCCUUUUAUGACACAGGGCCGUGUGUCAUGUGGGAAUGCAGAAUUAAUUAACUAGAAAACAGACAUAGUACGGAAACUGGGAGUUCUAAAAUGUUUCCACAUAAAAUCCAGGAAAAGAAGUAUAGAUGAGCCUAGAAAUCAGUAUAGCUUUUUCUUUUUUGUCUUUUUAGAAAGUGUAAAAAAAAAUCUCUCCGUCCCACAAAUCAAGCAGCCUCUUACACGCAGGUCUUCCCAGACGCCGGACAGGGAAACUGGCAACGAAUGGAUUUCAUUUCCACAUCAAUUGUGUGGUUUUGAAAUUCCGUUCUCUUCACCUCUGAACUCUGGUGAACAUAUUACUUAAAUCUCUUACAGGAGGUGGCAGAACUUUUAAUGUGAGGGACCAGGGAAGGGGAGAGACUCAUCAUUUGGUAGCCCAUGAAGAAAAUAAAACGACACAAAACAAAAUCAUUAGGAGAAAAUGAAAAAAAAUCCACAAGGAGUUUGUAAAACUCACUAUUGCCUAGGGAAAAGUCAUGUAGGAGGUGGCUAAAGAGGCUAUGUGUUGUAUCCAUAUCAUCUACUGUUGGAUAAAACAAGUGUUUUGGUUGAAAAUUGCCAUAUAACAUGGAAAAUGCAAAGACUUCUUCAAAGUUGAAUGAUACACAAGAUAUGUUAGAUGUCUCUUUGUGUAACCUUAUUUUGUUUAAGAAAACGAUUAAGGCUCGAUAUACUGGUAAUGAUCUUCUGAUUUCAACAAUAGAUAUGUGAUUGAGAGGAAAAUGUUGAAUGAUUAUCACAAUUCAGUUAAAACUGUAAGUUGGAACUGCAUGGAGUUCAUGGUUAUUCUUGCCUGCUUUUCACUCUAAACCAUAGGCAUUUAAUUUGGGGUGCAAAGAUUAAUUUAGGUAUAUGUUUUCUUGGAUGCAUUUUCUCAAAGACAAAGGACACAGACAUGGAACUGGAUGUCUUUUGUUCCAUGAGGCAUUAGGCUGUGAUUAGCCAGAUCAGUAGAAUUUUCUUUUCUUUGAGACAACUUCUCCCUGUGUAACUCCCUGUGUGGCCUUGAACUUGAGAUCCUCCUGCCUCAGCUUUUGGAGGGCUGAGAUUACACGUUUACAUCAUAGCACCCUGCUCUCCAUACAGUCAAACAAUUGUAUGUACAAUGAUGUCUUUGCUCCUCAUCUCUUUUUCAUGUAAAGAUU